UGAGGAAUAUUGCGCAAUGGGGGAAACCCUGACGCAGCAACGCCGCGUGAGUGAGGAAGGUUUUCGGACCGUAAAGCUCCGUCGAGCGGGAAGAAAUGCAUGGUGGCUAAUAUCCAUCAUGCUUGACGGUACCGCUAAAGGAAGCACCGGCUAACUCCGUGCCAGCAGCCGCGGUAAUACGGGGGGUGCGAGCGUUGUUCGGAAUUAUUGGGCGUAAAGAGCGUGUAGGCGGCCGAAUAAGUCAGAUGUGAAAUCCCUGGGCUUAACCCAGGACGUGCAUUUGAAACUAUUCGGCUAGAGUAGGGGAGAGCAAAGUGGAAUUCCUGGUGUAGAGGUGAAAUUCGUAGAUAUCAGGAGGAACACCGGUGGCGAAGGCGACUUUCUGGCCCUAUACUGACGCUGAGACGCGAGAGCGUGGGUAGCAAACAG
rnacentral:rRNA from 1 species